AGAUCGUGCCUGCUUCAGCAUACACUGAAUUUACAUUUAUUAUGAAUCCAGCUAGCUUUCUUGAAUUUACCAAUCCUGGCUGGUGGUUUGACCUGAACAUAUAGGUUAAGAGAUUCUGUCAGCUGUUUGGGCACUAGAGAAGAUGGGUGUUAUGAACACUUGAAAAAUACAAAGAUGGGCACAUUACCUCCGUCUUAUCAAUGACAAAAGUAGGACUCAGACGUUAACUCAUCAAAGAUUCACAUUCAAUUAUCUGCAGAAUCGGAAUGGAACUUGGGCUUCUGUGACUUUGGUAUUGCUUUACUUCACAAGAAUUUAAAGAAACAUUAACCUCUAUAUUGUUUUGUCAUUGUUUUAAAAAUCAUUCUUCAGUGUCAUAUAGAUAUAUCCCUUCUUGUUUAUGUCAGACUGUGUACAAUUCCAA